rnacentral:rRNA from 1 species
UACGGGGGGAGCAAGCGUUGUUCGGAUUUACUGGGCGUAAAGGGCGCGUAGGCGGCCACCGCAAGUCGACUGUGAAAUCUCUGGGCUUAACCCAGAACGGUCAGCCGAUACUGCGGGGCUAGAGUGCAGAAGGGGCAACUGGAAUUCUCGGUGUAGCGGUGAAAUGCGUAGAUAUCGGGAGGAAUACCAGUGGCGAAGGCGGCUUCCUGGCCUGUUCUUGACGCUGAGGCGCGAAAGCUGGGGGAGCAAACGGG